rnacentral:tRNA from 1 species
GCAGACGUAGUUUAACGGUAGAACCACAGCCUUCCAAGCUGUUAGCGGGAGUUCGAUUCUCCUCGUCUGCUCCA